rnacentral:tRNA from 1 species
GUUUUGAUAGCUUAAAUUUAAAGCCUUACAUUGAAGCUGUAAUGAUGACGGUAACGUUUUAAGACA